GACGAACGCUGGCGGCGUGCUUAACACAUGCAAGUCGAACGGAAAGGCCCUGCCUUGGUGGGGUACUCGAGUGGCGAACGGGUGAGUAACACGUGAGUAAUCUGCCCUGGACUCUGGGAUAACUUUAGGAAACUGGGGCUAAUACCGGAUAUGACCUCUCGCUUCAUGGUGGGGGGUGGAAAGUUUCGCCGGUUAGGGAUGGGCUCGCGGCUUAUCAGCUUGUUGGUGGGGUAGUGGCUUACCAAGGCGUGGACGGGUAGCCGGCCUGAGAGGGUGACCGGCCACAUUGGGACUGAGAUACGGCCCAGACUCCUACGGGAGGCAGCAGUGGGGAAUAUUACACAAUGGGCGGAAGCCUGAUGCAGCGACGCCGCGUGCGGGAUGACGGCCUUCGGGUUGUAAACCGCUUUCGGCUGUGACGAAGCGUGAGUGACGGUACCGGGUGAAGAAGCACCGGCUAACUACGUG
rnacentral:rRNA from 1 species